rnacentral:ncRNA from 1 species
AUAAACGCAAGGAAGAAGAGAGUACAUUUAUCGGAAUUGUACAGAGAGUUCCAAUGAACCGCAGGGUUUAGCUGAGAUGGAAUCAAGGGUGAUAGAUGGAAGAUGGCUUUGGAGUGGCGGGGCUGAAUCCUAAGAGACAAGGCUUCGACAGGACCGCCUGUUAUAGCGGGAAGUAUUGCAGGAUACUUCAUGAGGCACAUAUUGUAAGGUAUGUGUAAAAUAGAAGUGGUAACACGGAUAACACCCGUCUUCUUU